rnacentral:rRNA from 1 species
AUUGAACGCUGGCGGCAGGCCUAACACAUGCAAGUCGAGCGAGCGGCGGACGGGUGAGUAAUGUAUGGGGAUCUGCCUGAUGGAGGGGGAUAACUACUGGAACCGGUAGCUAAUACCGCAUACCAUCAGAUGAACCCAUAUGGGAUUAGCUGGUAGGUGCGGUAACGGCUCACCUAGGCGACGAUCCCUAGCUGGUCUCAGAGGAUGAUCAGUCACACGUGGACUGAGCCACGGCCCUGACUCCUACGGGAGGCAGCAGGGGGGAAUAUUGCACAAUGGGCCAAAGCCGGAUGCAGCCAUGCCGCGUGUAUGAAGAAGGCCUUCGGGUUGUAAAGUACUUUCAGUCGGGAGGCGUUACCGACAGAAGAAGCACCGGCUAACUCCGUGCCAGCAGCCGCGGUAAUAC